CGGACGGGUGAUUAAUGCUUGGGAAUCUGCCCUGUAGUGGGGGACAACCCGGGGAAACCCGGGCUAAUACCGCAUACGCCCCUUGGUUUGGUUACCAAGGGGGAAAGCGGGGGACCUUCGGGCCUCGCGCUAUUGGAUGAGCCCAAGUCGGAUUAGCUUGUUGGUGGGGUAAUGGCCUACCAAGGCAACGAUCCGUAGCUGGUCUGAGAGGACNAUCAGCCACACUGGGACUGAGACACGGCCCANACUCCUACGGGAGGCAGCAGUG
rnacentral:rRNA from 1 species